UGCUUCAUACUUCCCUGUGCUGCUGCAAAUCACCAUGGAAGGCUCAAGAUGGAGGGAACAGGGCCUGGGUGGCUUGUGCCUUCCUCCCACAAAGAUCACCAAAUGCUCCCGGCGCUUACUUCCGACACAUCCAAGGAGUUCUGCAACAACAGAAGGGGAAACAAGGCUUCACAGUCCUCAUCUUUCACUGAGAGGAAUAACAGCACAUCUACAGAGUGGCGUUUACCUAUUCGCUCGCGCCGUGGCUGCCACGCAACCUAUCUGGGCGGCCGGCUGGCACAGCCCGCGGUCACCGGAGCGAUGCCGAAGAGGAAACUCCGGGUCCCUCUUGGGGCGAGGGGCGCGCUGCGGGCCGGCUCCGGGCGGGCAGCUCUCCCUCCUCGGCGGCGGCGGCGGCGGGGAUGCUCCGCUCUGCGGCCAGCGGCGGGCAGCGUCCAUUGCAGCUCGGCGGGUCCGCGUCCGGAGUCCAGGGGCUCCGGCAGCCAGCGGGGGCACCCGGCCCCCGCUCCCCUAAACACCGCUGGCCAGGGGUGACUCCUCAUGCUCUUGGGAGAUUCAUGCUUUUUUUCUGAAGCCCACAAUUGUCUACUUCCCACCUUAUAGCUGUCUUCCUCUAUCAAGUCAAUUGUACCUAGAAAAAGCUUUUUGUACCUUGUGGCUUUGUUGUAGCCACUAAUUAUUCUCUGCUGAAAAGAAGAGGAUGCUGGUGUGGCUACCAUUACAGAGCUAAGAGGAGGCAGAAGGUGAGUGGGGAUUAUUUAGGCCAGAACAGCAGGUUCUGUAUCCCGAGGCACAGUCCCUUACAGUCUUCAGCUGCCCCUACUGGGCUGCUCUCCACUCUCAAGUAGUAGAACUGAUGUCAGAGGCUCACCAUUCAAUCUUCCUUAUGUUGCUAUGUAGUUGUCAGGGAUUAACUUUUGUUAGUAAAGCAGGAACAGGCAAGUCCUAUUAAGAAAACAUGACUGGUAGCAGUAGCUGAACUAACCUGAUACAAGAGUACUUGCCCAGUGACUCAAUGUACCCCUCAUCAAGCAACACUUUAGAAUGAACCACCAACCAGUAAAACUCAGCCAACCUGGAUGGUGCUCUCCACCUCAUGAUACUCAUCUACCUCAACCUGAAGGGCAAUAACAGAGCCCUACCCUUAGGAGUAUCCGGGACCAAGCCUGUGUAGCUGGAACCAGCACAAUAAAUGCUGCUCCUCUCAUCUAUUGACA
rnacentral:lncRNA from 1 species